rnacentral:piRNA from 1 species
UUGGGAUAAUUGUAGACUACU